rnacentral:rRNA from 1 species
AUGAACGCUGGCGGCGUGCCUCAUCCAUGCAAGUCGCGCGCACAGACGAGGAGCUUGCUCCUCUGACGUUAGCGGCGGACGGGUGAGUAACACGUGGAUAACCUACCUAUAAGACUGGGAUAACUUCGGGAAACCGGAGCUAAUACCGGAUAAUAUAUUGAACCGCAUGGUUCAAUAGUGAAAGACGGUUUUGCUGUCACUUAUAGAUGGAUCCGCGCCGCAUUAGCUAGUUGGUAAGGUAACGGCUUACCAAGGCGACGAUGCGUAGCCGACCUGAGAGGGUGUUCGGCCACACGGGAACUGAGACACGGUCCAGACUCCUAGGGGAGGCAGCAGGAGGGAAUCUUCCGAAAUGGGCGAAAGCCUGACGGAGCAACGCCGCGGGAGUUAUGAAGGUUUUCGGAUCGUAAAACUUUUUUAUUAGGGAAGAACAAAUGUGUAAGUAACUAUGCACGUCUUGACGGUACCUAAGCAGAAAGCCCCGGCUAACUACGG